GAUUUCUGGUUCGGCGCACUUGGCCCGCCUCGGUUUACGGGGUUGUGUGCCGGUGUGCGCCAUCCAUCCUUCGAAUGAACAGUCUUUCCCCCUUCAUUGGGGUGAUUGCUGCCAAUUCGAUCUUUUACUUUGAAAAAAUUAGAGUGUUUAAAGCAGGCUUGCGCUAUGAAUACAUUAGCAUGGAAUAAUAAUUUAGGACUUUGGUCUUAUUUUGUUGGUUUCUAGGACUAAAGUAAUGAUUGAUAGGGAUAGUUGGGGGUGCUAGUAUUCAGCGGCCAGAGGUGAAAUUCUUGGAUUCGCUGAAGACUAACUUAUGCGAAAGCAUU
rnacentral:rRNA from 1 species